rnacentral:rRNA from 1 species
AUUGAACGCUGGCGGCAGGCCUAACACAUGCAAGUCGAACGAGUGGCGGACGGGUGAGUAAUGUCUGGGAAACUGCCUGAUGGAGGGGGAUAACUACUGGAAACGGUAGCUAAUACAGCAUACCAUCAGAUGUGCCCAGAUGGGAUUAGCUUGUUGGUGGGGUAACGGCUAACCAAGGCAACGAUCCCAAGCGGGUUUGAGAGGAUGAACAGCCACACUGUACCUGUGACACGGUCCAGACGCCUACGGGAGGCAGCAGGGGGGAAUAUUUCACAAUGGGCGCAAGCCUGAUGCAGCCAUGCCGCGUGUAUGAAUAAGGCUUUCGGGUUGUAAAGUACUUUCAGCGGGGAGGCGUUACCCGCAUGAGAAGCACCGGCUAACUCCGUGCCAGCCGCCGCGGUAAUAC